rnacentral:rRNA from 1 species
UACGUAGGGGCAAGCGUUGUCCGGAAUCAUUGGGCGUAAAGCGCGUGUAGGCGGUUCGGUAAGUCUGCUGUGAAAGUCCAGGGCUCAACCCUGGGAUGCCGGUGGAUACUGUCGGACUAGAGUACGGAAGAGGCGAGUGGAAUUCCCGGUGUAGCGGUGAAAUGCGCAGAUAUCGGGAGGAACACCAAUUGCGAAGGCAGCUCGCUGGGACGUCACUGACGCUGAGACGCGAAAGCGUGGGGAGCAAACAGGG